UACGUAGGGGGCAAGCGUUGUCCGGAUUUAUUGGGCGUAAAGAGCGUGUAGGCGGCCAGACAAGUCUGCUGUGAAAACUCGAGGCUCAACCUCGAGCUGUCGGUGGAAACUGUCUGGCUAGAGUCCGGGAGAGGGAUGCGGAAUUCCAGGUGUAGCGGUGAAACGCGCAGAUAUCAGGAAGAACACCCGUGGCGAAGGCGGCUCUCUGGGACGGUACUGACGCUGAGACGCGAAAGCGUGGGGAGCGAACAGG
rnacentral:rRNA from 1 species